UACGGGGGGAGCAAGCGUUGUUCGGAUUUACUGGGCGUAAAGGGCGCGUAGGCGGCCACCGCAGGUCGACUGUGAAAUCUCCGGGCUUAACCCGGAAAGGUCAGCCGAUACUGCGGGGCUAGAGUGCAGAAGGGGCAACUGGAAUUCUCGGUGUAGCGGUGAAAUGCGUAGAUAUCGGGAGGAACACCAAUGGCGAAGGCAGCUCGCUGGGACGGUACUGACGCUGAGGCGCGAAAGCGUGGGGAGCAAACAGG
rnacentral:rRNA from 1 species